GAUGAACGCUGGCGGCGUGCCUAAUAUAUGCAAGUCGAGCGAAUGGAUUGAGAGCUUGCUCUUAUGAAGUUAGCGGCGGACGGGUGAGUAACACGUGGGUAACCUGCCCAUAAGACUGGGAUAACUCCGGGAAACCGGGGCUAAUACCGGAUAACAUUUUGAACCGCAUGGUUCGAACUUGAAAGGCGGCUUCGGCUGUCACUUAUGGAUGGACACGCGUCGCAUUAGCUAUUUGGUGAGGUAACGGCUCACCAAGGCAACGAUGCGUAGCCGACCUGAGAGGGUGAUCGGCCACACUGGGACUGAGACACGGCCCAGACUCCUACGGGAGGCAGCAGUAGGGAAUCUUCCGCAAUGGACGAAAGUCUGACGGAGCAACGCCGCGUGAGUGAUGAAGGCUUUCGGGUCGUAAAACUCUGUUGUUAGGGAAGAACAAGUGCUAGUUGAAUAAGCUGGCACCUUGACGGUACCUAACCAGAAAGCCACGGCUAACUACGUGCCAGCCGCCGCUGUAA
rnacentral:rRNA from 1 species